rnacentral:rRNA from 1 species
AUUGAACGCUAGCGGCAUGCCUUACACAUGCAAGUCGAACGGCAGCGGGGGAGAAGCUUGCUUUUCCUGCCGGCGAGUGGCGAACGGGUGAGUAAUACAUCGGAACGUGCCCUGUAGUGGGGGAUAACUAGUCGAAAGAUUAGCUAAUACCGCAUACGACCUGAGGGUGAAAGUGGGGGACCGCAAGGCCUCAUGCUAUAGGAGCGGCCGAUGUCUGAUUAGCUAGUUGGUGGGGUAAAGGCCUACCAAGGCGACGAUCAGUAGCUGGUCUGAGAGGACGAUCAGCCACACUGGGACGGAGACACGGCCCAGACUCCUACGGGAGGCAGCGGUGGGGAAUUUUGGACAAUGGGCGAAAGCCUGAUCCAGCAAUGCCGCGUGUGUGAAGAAGGCCUUCGGGUUGUAAAGCACUUUUGUCCGGAAAGAAAUGGCUCUGGUUAAUACCUGGGGUCGAUGACGGUACCGGAAGAAUAAGGACCGGCUAACUACGUGCCAGCCGCCGCCGUAA